rnacentral:rRNA from 1 species
AUACGGAAGGUCCGGGCGUUAUCCGGAUUUAUUGGGUUUAAAGGGAGCGCAGGCGGAGAUGCAAGCGUGACGUCAAAUUUCGGGGCUCAACCCCGUCUCGCGUCGCGAACUGCGUCCCUUGGUUGCGGGAAGGGGAGGCGGAACUCGUGGUGUAGCGGUGAAAUGCAUAGAUAUCACGAAGAACUCCGAUCGCGAAGGCAGCCUUCCGGCCCGUCAACGACGCUCAUGCUCGAAGGUGCGGGUAUCAAACAGGAUUAGAUACCCUGGUAGUCCGCACAGUAAACGAUGGACACCCGCGGUUUGGCCUGUAUGGCUGAGCCGCCAAGCGAAAGCGUUAAGUGCCCCACCUGGGGAGUACGCCGGCAACGGUGAAACUCAAAGGAAUUGACGGGG